GAUGCCAUCAGUGAGGGACCGCAAUGAAGACAGAAUCAAGAAUUGCCCGGAAAGCCCUCAGAGUUGGCUUCAAGGAGGCCUCUCUAAAGGACAAAAGAUGGAUGGCUGGGUGUCAAGGUGCCCUAAAUGGUCCUAGGAUGUGCCUCCGCACUUCCUGUUAACCUGCCGCCAAGUUUCCAGAUCAUUCACUUCCCUUGGCAGGGUGGGGCUCGCUUCCUAUCCUGACCUUCUUGGUGGGUCAGGCUUUUGUUCCGGUCAUUCCCCUCAGCCCUGGAGAAUCGGGCUUAUGGUGGCUGGUCUAGGAGGAAGGGGAGGGCAACUAGGACUGAGAGAGGUGGGGCGCGCCGAGGAUGGCCGGGUGGCGGAGGACCCGGGGACGCCCCACUAAGUGCACCUCCAACCGCCGCCCAAUUGGAGCCUCGUCGGGAGUCGUUUUCGCCUGAGAUGCUCCUUGCAGGGGGUGUCUCAGAGUUGGUCAUAGGGCUCUUCCCAACCGACCAAAGCACGCUCAACAGUAGACUUUGAACCUGGAAAAUAACUAGGAUUUGUAUGGUGCAGUUUGUGGUGGUGGUGGUUUCUUUUUAAUCCCGGACAAGCAAACUGAUAAUGUUAAAGUUUCGGAAUUAAUAGGGGAAACUCACAGUUGAAUUAUGUGGUGGGCUUUCUUUUAAGGUUUAUUUUAAGUUUGGAUAAUGCUGAGAUUUUACCAAAAACAUUAAAAAAUGAAUAUUUUGAGAAAAUAGGCUAUUUUAAAUACUCAGGGAGUUGAACUUUGCUACUGUGUAGUCGUCAUGCUGAAACUUGUAGACAUCAGAAUUGUACCUUGUGAUACGGCUUUAAUUGCCAGAAGCUUCUGAAAAUGCAACAAUUCUAGUUAUAGAUGUAGAUACAUUAAUUAGAGUUAGUUUUCCUCACUUCAGGGUACCCUAUAAAUUUUGUCAUAAGGUAAAAUAAAAAAAUGUAAGGUCUUGGCACAAUACCAUAUGGACCUGGACAAAACUUGUUAAGAUUCCUCUCCUCCAAAGCUCUUUUAUGCUGAAAUUGUGUUCUCCCCAAAAUGGAAGAAACCUCACCAUCUUCUGGAAGACUUUCUUUGAAGUACUAUUGUUAUGUGAACUAGAGACCACUGGCUUUUAAUGGAAGUGUUUUGGGUCAUCUAGUCUCUAUGAGUUAUAAAAUGAAUUGAUUUAUUGUGAAGUUGAUGUAUUAUAGUUUUUUAAUCUAUAAAUGACUUUCUCAAAAGACUGCUGGUCCUACAUUUGUUUGCUGUUCAGUAAUAAAGUAUCUUUGAACAUUGGAAUAGGAUCCUAUUAAAAAGAAGACUACAUAAAUACCAAGGGUUUCAUUUAGAGCCUCUUUGAGGCACAAUAAAGAAGU